rnacentral:rRNA from 1 species
UACGUAGGGUGCAAGCGUUGUCCGGAAUUAUUGGGCGUAAAGAGCUCGUAGGCGGUUCGUCGCGUCGGCUGUGAAAUCCCGAGGCUCAACCUCGGGUCUGCAGUCGAUACGGGCGGACUGGAGUGACUGCAGGGGAGACUGGAAUUCCUGGUGUAGGCGGUGAAAUGCGCAGAUAUCAAGGAGGAACACCGGUGGCGAAGGCGGGGUCUCUGGGCAGUAACUGACGCUGAGGAGCGAAAGCGUGGGGAGCGAACAGGGAAUU